UACGUAUGGGGCGAGCGUUGUUCGGAAUUAUUGGGCGUAAAGGGCGUCUAGGCGGGAAAUUAAGUUAGGUGUGAAAGCUAUGGGCUCAACCCAUAAACUGCAUCUAAAACUGAUUUUCUUGAGUUCGGGAGAGGAGAGCGGAAUUCCAGGUGUAGCGGUGAAAUGCGUAGAUAUCUGGAAGAACACCAGUGGCGAAGGCAGCUCUCUGGCCUAGAACUGACGCUGAAGCGCGAAAGCGUGGGGAGCGAACAGG
rnacentral:rRNA from 1 species